ACGAACGUUGGCGGCGUGCUUAAUACAUGCCAGUCAACUGAAGCAGUGGUAGCAAUAUCGCUGUGGAGGUGGCGCACGGGUGAGUAACACGUAGGUAAUCUGCCUUCAGGUCUGGCAUAACUCCGGGAAACCGGGGCUAAUAGCAGAUGAUGCAGCGGCUCGACAUCGAGACAGUUGUUAAAGCUAUGGCGCCUGAAGAUGAGCCUGCGUCUGAUUAGCUAGUUGGCGGGGUAACGGCCCACCAAGGCAACGAUCAGUAGCUGGUCUGAGAGGAUGAUCAGCCACACUGGAACUGAGACACGGUCCAGACUCCUACGGGAGGCAGCAGUAAGGAAUAUUGCUCAAUGGGAGAAAUCCUGAAGCAGCAACGCCGCGUGAGGGACGAAGGGCUUUUGCUUGUAAACCUCUGUAGUGAGAGAAAAAAAAUCCCAAUCUUUGGGACAUGAUGGUAUCUCAAAAGUAAGCCCCGGCUAACUACGUG
rnacentral:rRNA from 1 species